UACAGUGAAAACUUGAAGAGAAAGCCAAAGUAAAUUUCUUUUUAACUGAACAAAACGAGUCAUAGGUAUUAUAUUAAAACACUUGAAGUAUCUGUAAUGAAAUGUUUUUAACUAAAUGGGCAUAGUUGCUCAAGUCUCUCUCUUUUUUUUAACAUAAGCAAACAAACAAAAAGAAAUUUGAACAAUUAGAAUUAGUUGCCUGGUUAAAAUAUUGAUUAUAGUCAUCAUCUUUUAACUUACACUAAAAUUAAUAAAAGUUUUUCUAAGAUAGGUCUAGGAGCCAUUGUUCUACAAUAUGGUUUGAGUAAGAACACACAAUAAAUACUCCUUUGGAAGUUUUUGUGAACUUAAAAAAACUACACAGCUAACCUUGAUGUCUAAUAUUGCCACUAACAGCAACUUCCUAUAACCAUUUAAAGCAUAAUUUUUGUCUGGUAAAGUAAGCACUUAAGUUUGAAUUUUCCCAGGAGAGAGCAGAGUACUAAGAAUGGAGAAAUAGGACUGGUAAAUUUUGGAAGAAAAGAAAAGACAACAAAAGAUGUUGAGCAUGAAUUGGCAUUCACAGUUAAGGGAGGGCUUAGGCAGCUGGAAACCCUAGAUGGGCAGUAAGACAUGAGAUAUGAAAGUACUAAAAAAAGGAGAAAAAUGAAUGGGGUAAUGUUUUCACAUCUACAUACAUAUGCAUAUCUUUAUGCAUGGGUAAAAUUGACCCCCUCCUUGUGUGAUUUAAUAUGUAGAACCUCUAAAAGUCUUCUUGACCAAAAAAUAUCUCUUCCAACUUUCCUCCAGGGUUGCCUGAAAUUCUCAUUAUAUUGAUUUUUGGGGAAUGAAAGCAAGGAUGGUCCUGCCCUUGUCUUCUAGCCACCCUACAAGCAUUUUGUUACAAGGGAACAGAGGGAAUGAUCAUUGAAAACAUCUUGCCAAAUGGUGCCAGAUGCUUUGUAUGUUUUAUGGCAUUUAAUCCAUUUUAUCUUCACAUAGAGCUGAGGAAAUGAAGGCUCAUCUUCCAAACAACUUGUCCAAGAUCAUAAGACACUUUGGCUCUGGGUAGCUUUUGAAGAUGUUAGAACAGCAACUCCAUGACUUUUGAAGGAUGUCAAAGUGGAUGCUGGACAGGGUGAGAACUGCAUCAAGCCUUCUACCUUCUCAGGCCCUGCAAACUCUAGCUGGACUGGUGCCAACUGACUAAUCUGAUAAACUAAUCUGGUGAUGGCAGAAGAUGAAAAACACCCAAACAGGAAAAGAUUCCGUCUGUAUAUUACCAGUAGCAGAAAUUUCUGAGCUGGUGGCUAUUCAUUGCUUCUCUAAACAUACUCUUUGGAGUGUUGCCACAUUACGACUGACACUGAGAAAACUACACUCCUUUGUUGUGCUCCAGGCUUUCUCCAGAGAGCUCAGCAUUCCCUGCUGUGGUCUGGGUCAUACGUUGGGUACUGCCCCUACUUCUCCUUUCUUAGGGGAUUUUAGUCAUAAAGCAUUUGAAUGAACUAAUGCCUUUGUCUCUGAGACUCCAGAGAAUCUGAGCAUAAUUAUUACCCAUACCUCUGUGUUAUCUCUGAAGAUUUCCACCACAGUUAUCCUUCCCUCUGAGGUAAGGAAUUUGUUUUGAUUUUUCUUUCAACCAGAAACAACCCAGCAUGUUCAAAGAUUUGCUCAAUUGGAUUCAAAGGUAAACAGUCCUCUGAUCCUUUCUGAAAGAGUUCAAGAGUUUACAGCCUAUUUUAACUGAGGUGAGAUGAUAUCUCAAUGUGGUUUUGAUUUGUAUUUCACCAAUGAUUAGCCAGUUAAAAUGGCUGUUGUCAAAAAGACAGAAAAUAGCAAAUGCUGGUGAGAAUGCAGAAAAAGGGGAACACUCGAGCACUGUUGGUACAGCCAUUAUGGAAAACAGUAUGGAGGUUUCUCAAAAACCCUACAAAAUAGAAUUGCCAUA